rnacentral:rRNA from 1 species
GAUGAACGCUGGCGGCGUGCCUAAUACAUGCAAGUCGAACGCAUAGCGAAAGGUGCUUGCACCUUUCAAGUGAGUGGCGAACGGGUGAGUAACACGUGGACAACCUGCCUCAAGGCUGGGGAUAACAUUUGGAAACAGAUGCUAAUACCGAAUAAAACUUAGUGUCGCAUGACACAAAGUUAAAAGGCGCUUCGGCGUCACCUAGAGAUGGAUCCGCGGUGCAUUAGUUAGUUGGUGGGGUAAAGGCCUACCAAGACAAUGAUGCAUAGCCGCGUUGAGAGACUGAUCGGCCACAUUGGGACUGAGACACGGCCCAAACUCCUACGGGAGGCUGCAGUAGGGAAUCUUCCACAAUGGGCGAAAGCCUGAUGGAGCAACGCCGCGUGUGUGAUGAAGGCUUUCGGGUCGUAAAGCACUGUUGUAUGGGAAGAACAGCUAGAAUAGGAAAUGAUUUUAGUUUGACGGUACCAUACCAGAAAGGGACGGCUAAAUACGUG